rnacentral:rRNA from 1 species
UACGGGGGGAGCAAGCGUUGUUCGGAUUUACUGGGCGUAAAGAGCUCGUAGGCGGCUUGCUAAGUCAGGUGUGAAACCUCCAGGCUCAACCUGGAGCCGCCACCUGAUACUGGUAUGGCUAGAGUCCGGUAGGGGACCACGGAAUUCCUGGUGUAGCGGUGAAAUGCGCAGAUAUCAGGAGGAACACCGGUGGCGAAGGCGGUGGUCUGGGCCGAUACUGACGCUGAGGAGCGAAAGCGUGGGGAGCGAACAGG